rnacentral:rRNA from 1 species
UAGGUAGGUGGUCUCAUUUGUCUAGGGUGAAAGCCUUGAGCUUAACUCAAGAAGUGCCCCGGAAACGGUGAGACUGGAGUCCUGGAGAGGGUCGUGGAAUUCCCGGUGUAGCGGUGAAAUGCGUAGAGAUCGGGAGGAACACCAGAGGCGAAGGCGGCGACCUGGACAGGCACUGACACUCAACUACGAAAGCGUGGGGAGAAAC